rnacentral:rRNA from 1 species
CAGCAGCCGCGGUAAUACGAGGGGAGCUAGCGUUGUUCGGAAUUACUGGGCGUAAAGCGCGCGUAGGCGGCUUUUUAAGUCAGAGGUGAAAGCCCGGGGCUCAACCCCGGAAUUGCCUUUGAAACUGGAAAGCUAGAAUCUUGGAGAGGCCAGUGGAAUUCCGAGUGUAGAGGUGAAAUUCGUAGAUAUUCGGAAGAACACCAGUGGCGAAGGCGACUGACUGGACAAGUAUUGACGCUGAGGUGCGAAAGCGUGGGGAGCAAACAGGAUUAGAUACCCCUGUAGUCCCUGUCUCUUAUAC